UACGGAGGGGGCUAGCGUUGUUCGGAAUUACUGGGCGUAAAGCGCACGUAGGCGGCUUCGUAAGUUAGAGGUGAAAGCCCGGAGCUCAACUCCGGAAUUGCCUUUAAGACUGCAUCGCUUGAAUCAUGGAGAGGUGAGUGGAAUUCCGAGUGUAGAGGUGAAAUUCGUAGAUAUUCGGAAGAACACCAGUGGCGAAGGCGACUCACUGGACAUGUAUUGACGCUGAGGUGCGAAAGCGUGGGGAGCAAACAGG
rnacentral:rRNA from 1 species